UACGGGGGGAGCAAGCGUUGUUCGGAUUUACUGGGCGUAAAGGGCGCGUAGGCGGUCAGCACAAGUCAGUUGUGAAAUCUCCGAGCUUAACUCGGAAAGGUCAACUGAUACUGUGCGACUAGAGUGCAGAAGGGGCAACUGGAAUUCUCGGUGUAGCGGUGAAAUGCGUAGAUAUCGAGAGGAACAUCUGCGGCGAAGGCGGGUAGCUGGGCUGACACUGACGCUGAGGCGCGAAAGCUAGGGGAGCGAACGGG
rnacentral:rRNA from 1 species